rnacentral:rRNA from 1 species
UACGAAGGGUGCAAGCGUUACUCGGAAUUACUGGGCGUAAGCGUGCGUAGGUGGUGAGUUAAGUCUGUCGUGAAAGCCCCGGGCUCAACCUGGGAAUGGCGAUGGAUACUGGCUCGCUAGAGUGCGGUAGAGGAGAGUGGAAUUCCCGGUGUAGCAGUGAAAUGCGUAGAGAUCGGGAGGAACAUCAGUUGCGAAGGCGGCUCUCUGGACCAGCACUGACACUGAGGCACGAAAGCGUGGGUAGCAAACAGG